GCCAGACUCCUACGGGAGGCAGCAGUGGGGAAUAUUGCACAAUGGGGGAAACCCUGAUGCAGCAACGCCGCGUGAGUGAAGAAGCGUUUCGGCGCGUAAAGCUCUGUCAGCGGGGAAGAAAGAAGACGGUACCCGACCAAGAAGCCCCGGCUAACUACGUGCCAGCAGCCGCGGUAAUACGUAGGGGGCAAGCGUUAUCCGGAUUUACUGGGUGUAAAGGGAGCGCAGACGGCAGUGCAAGUCUGGAGUGAAAGCCCGGGGCCCAACCCCGGAACUGCUCUGGAAACUGUGCGGCUAGAGUACUGGAGGGGCAGGCGGAAUUCCUAGUGUAGCGGUGAAAUGCGUAGAUAUUAGGAGGAACACCAGUGGCGAAGGCGGCCUGCUGGACAGUAACUGACGUUGAGGCUCGAAAGCGUGGGGAGCAAACAGGAUUAGAUACCCCGGUA
rnacentral:rRNA from 1 species